CUGCGGUGCACACGGCGCCUCGCCCCGCCUCACCGGCGCUCUAUCCUCGCGUCUGCUCCCAGCUCCGGGCUCCCGGGGCUGAGGUGGAGCCGCGGGACGCCGGCAGGGUUGUGGCGCAGCAGUCUCCUUCCUGCGCGCGCGCCUGAAGUCGGCGUGGGCGUUUGAGGAAGCUGGAUACAGCAUUUAAUGAAAAAUUUAUGCUUAAGAAGUAAAAAUGGCAGGCUUCCUAGAUAAUUUUCGUUGGCCAGAAUGUGAAUGUAUUGACUGGAGUGAGAGAAGAAAUGCUGUGGCAUCUGUUGUCGCAGGUAUAUUUUUUUUACAGGCUGGUGGAUAAUGAUUGAUGCAGCUGUGGUGUAUCCUAAGCCAGAACAGUUGAACCAUGCCUUUCACACAUGUGGU
rnacentral:lncRNA from 1 species